rnacentral:rRNA from 1 species
GAUGAACGCUAGCUACAGGCUUAACACAUGCGAGUCGAGGGGUAACGAGAGGAAAGCUUGCUUUCCUUGUCGACGACCGGCGCACGGGUGAGUAACGCGUAUCCAACCUGCCCCCAACUAGGGAAUAACCUUGCGAAAGUAAGACUAAUACCCUAUAAUUUCCUCAGAUGUCAUCUGACGAGGAAUAAAGAUUUAUCAGUUGUGGAUGGGGAUGCGUCUGAUUAGCUUGUUGGCGGGGUAACGGCCCACCAAGGCAACGAUCAGUAGGGGUUCUGAGAGGAAGGUCCCCCACAUUGGAACUGAGACACGGUCCAAACUCCUACGGGAGGCAGCAGUGAGGAAUAUUGGUCAAUGGGCGGAAGCCUGAACCAGCCAAGUAGCGUGCAGGAUGACGGCCCUAUGGGUUGUAAACUGCUUUUAUACAGGAAUAAAGUUAGCCACGUGUGGUUAUUUGUAUGUACUGUAUGAAUAAGGACCGGCUAAUUCCGUGCCAGCCGCCGCAGUAA